rnacentral:rRNA from 1 species
CAAGACCUUGCGCUCUUGGAGCGGCCGAUGUCUGAUUAGCUAGUUGGUGAGGUAAAGGCUUACCAAGGCGACGAUCAGUAGCUGGUCUGAGAGGACGACCAGCCACACUGGGACUGAGACACGGCCCAGACUCCUACGGGAGGCAGCAGUGGGGAAUUUUGGACAAUGGGGGAAACCCUGAUCCAGCCAUGCCGCGUGAGUGAAGAAGGCCUUCGGGUUGUAAAGCUCUUUCGGCCGGAACGAAACGGUCACGGCUAAUACCUGUGACUACUGACGGUACCGGAAGAAGAAGCACCGGCUAACUACGUGCCAGCAGCCGCGGUAAUACGUAGGGUGCAAGCGUUAAUCGGAAUUACUGGGCGUAAAGCGUGCGCAGGCGGUUUUGUAAGUCAGAUGUGAAAUCCCCGGGCUUAACCUGGGAACU